rnacentral:ncRNA from 1 species
CGCAAAGAUAAAAACGCAACGUGCGGCCCCGCCGCACCAGAGCCGGUAGGUAGCCCGGCCGUCCCGCCCGAUGGGCGGGGUAAGUAACCUGCCCCUCCGGGUUGUCCGUUCUUUGCUCA